rnacentral:hammerhead_ribozyme from 1 species
AUUCAACUAACGAGUCCCAAAUAGGACAAAACGCGCGUAAUGGAU